GAUGAACGCUGGCGGCGUGCCUAACACAUGCAAGUCGAGCGGAAACACAAUGAGAUUGUGCUCUUACCGUUGGCGAGUGGCGGGCGGGUGACGCGUGCAUCGGAAUCUUCUUUUUCGGGGAGGAUAACGUAGAGAAACUUACGCUAAUACAGCAUAUGAUCUACGGGUGUAAGCAUUGGAUCUUCUCGGCUUUCGCGAUUGAAUUAGCCGAUUUCGGGUUAGAUAGUUGGUUGGGUAAAGGCCCACCAAGGCGACGAUCCGUAGCUGGUCUGAGAGGAUGAUCAGCCACACUGGAACUGAGACACGGUCCAGACUCCUGCGGGAGGCAGCAGUGGGGAAUAUUGGACAAUGGGCGAAAGCCUGACGCAGCAAUGCCGCGUGGGUGAUGAAGGCCUUCGGGUCGUAAAGCCCUUUUGUUGGGAAAGAACGGCUGUGGGUGAAUACCUGGCUGUUUUGACGGUACCUAAAGAAUAAGCACCGGCUAACUACGUG
rnacentral:rRNA from 1 species